UAAGGGUUCAUUUAUACUCAUUAGUAUAAAACCAGUUGUGUGUUAUAGAUAUAAGAGUAAUUUGUAUGCUGUAUAAGAUGUACUCAAGUCCAUUCUGUGUAUUCAUCUUUCGUGUUGGAUGAGAAAUGUUCCUUUGGCCUGAGGGAUGGAGAAGAGCUGUUAUUUCAUGGACAAGCAGAGCUACUCUAGUUCUAAGUACUCCAGAUAAAGCCACUCUGUUGGCAUACUUUAAUUUUGCCUUGUCUCACUUCUUUUUCCACUUUGCUCUUUAUUGCUGUUUUUCUCCCCCUGUCACCUACAAGGAACAUGAACCUUGCAGAUUUCUGAAUGGGUUUUCCAGUCUAGGACAGUUUCCCAGCAGUCCUGAAACCGGGAAAAGUGUCAUGAGUUUGAGUAAGGUUUGCUCCAUGCUAAGGGACACUGCUGGUUGCUCCCAGCCCGCUCUGUGCUCAGCCCUGUAGCAGUCAGGCGGUUGGACUAGAUGAUUGUUGUGGGUCCCUUCCAACUGAACUAUUCUGUACUAUUCUACUCUGUAGAAUUGUGAGUCUACUGGUACUAAUGAAAUUACUGGUAAUUAGUACUAUUUCUGUUUGGGGAGAAGAGAACAGAGUAAAUGGCAGUUCUUUGUAACUUACUUUUCAAAGCGUUCUUCUGCUCAAACAAGUAACAGAAUCCUUGGGUAUGGACCAGUCUUUACUAGAGGAUGUUAUAACCAUGUUUCUAUUCAACUUUACUGUGUACUGUACUGAAAGGUGUCUUUGCAUAGUGGAUAGUUAAAUGGUACAUUUUGUUUUAAGUAGACAGGCAUUUUAGAUAACACAGAUACUAUCAAACUAACAGAUAAAUGUGACUCUAGAAAAAGGUUUGGUGGUUGGGACUUGAAAUAGAGAUAGAGAAGAAAUUGCAAAACAGUUUCCAACUGAAAAUGUGUAUCAACAUGGGAUAGUUGGAAAGAAGCAGAUUCACUGGAAUUCUUAAUGUGGAAAAUUCUUCCUUUAUGGAUCAGCCUUCUAGUGAUGGUGAAACUGGAAGAAGACCACUCUAAGCAAACCCAGGAUGAAUCGGGUGCCAGGUGAUACAGACAAUGCUCACAGUAGCAGCGUGGAAUCCUGUCCUUCCUUGCGGGAUGUCCACUCCAUCAACCCAGCGCAGCUGAUGGCAAGGAUUGAGUCAUAUGAAGGCAGAGAGAAGAAAGGCAUAUCAGAUGUCAGAAGGACUUUCUGUUUGUUUGUUACAUUUGAUCUCUUAUUCAUAACCUUGCUGUGGAUAAUAGAAUUAAAUGUAAAAGGAGGCAUUGAGACUACCUUAGAGAAAGAAGUCCUACAAUAUGACUACUCUUCUUCAUAUUUUGAUAUAUUUGUAAGUGUUCUUCAAAAAAAAAGAGGGGAAAAAAGCAGCAAAAGUGUAGUUCUCCCAUGUUCCUCCUUCCACACAUGUUCCCUAGUUUGGGUCCUGUGAAAGGGAUGAUCUUUCCUUGAUGCUUUAAACUGGAAGGACUUGUGCCAAAUUUCACCUGGCUAGAGAUAAUUUAUUAAGAAGACCAGUAGCCUCCAGCUGUAAAAUCAUGUUGUUUAAACCAGUGUUUUUGUCCUUCCACAGAAAUAAGUGAGUUGCAGUGAGGAGACACUUGUUCCCAGGUUGGCCUGGUCAGAUGGGUUUUCAGAUGUCUGUGUUUUAACUCAACAGGGUUUUUUUUAACAUUGUACUAAAAAGAGAUGACACAAAGCUUGAUUCUCCUUGUAAGCACCCAAGGCACGUGAGAGGAACACUGCUCCAUCAGGAAGUUCCUCUGUCUUCCAGCCACGCUGUAGCUCUGUAGUUGCGAUGCAUUUUGCACUGCAUGGACCAAGUUACUGAUCUCAAAGUAAAAGCUGUUUCUUUAUGGUCCUUUUAAAGGGCCCCAUGUUCUUCCAAGAUCAUUAACUCUACCAGAUCUUGUUUGCCUGGCAGAGAUGAGUUGGUUUGGUAUCUACUAUACUAUAUCCAGAAUCUCUCUUUGAAAUGGAGGUACCAUGGAAUGGUGUGGAAUGAGGUACCAGAUACAAAAAUGUCAUAAGCUAGCAAGCUAUGCUACUUCUCCCUUUCUUGGUAUUUUGCUGGCAGGUUCUUUAUGAUACACUUUACUGCAGAAAGCAAAAUGUUGAUGCUCUGGAAAUGAUUUUGCCCUCGAGUUCAACCAAGGGUUAAAAACAUGUAAUGCAAAAUAAUAGACUUUUAUUCCCUGGGAAAGGAUGAGGUCAUGGAAUUCUGCAGAAUGACUUAUGAGCUUAUGCAGGAUUUCUUCUGUUUCUACCACACAACACUGAAACAUACGUAUUUGCAUAGGACUAAAUGGGUUCAUCAUGCCUCUGGCCACGCCUGUCCUUGGUGUCCCUGAAUUUUUAAGCAUUUGGUUUAUGUUUUUUUAGAUUCUAAAUGCAUCUUUUAAAGCAAGUUGGAAGCAAUCCAAUAUCGAAGAAUAAACAGGGAAAUUGAGGGUUAGUGCCCCUGAUUCAGAAAUCUUGUCUGCUAUCGAUUGAAUUUUCUGGCCCAGAAAUACCAUAACUUACCUUUAUUUCCUGCAAAACGUUUGGAACAGCUUGCAGCUGCAGGCACCUCCACAAAGAAGAACUGAUCGUUGCAAUGCUAAUAUUUCAAUAAAUCCUAAACAUCUAGUAAGUAGAAGAUGGUUUAAAAAAAUUCUUCCCAUUUUCUGAUUGCAUUUGUGAAGUACUUGCAGUUUUUAAUGCUACUCUUGACCAGUACCACACCACUCAGAUCAGAGAGAGGCACAGUGAUGCUCAAAGUAUUUGCUGGAUUAACUGCAUCUAGAUUUAACUGCUUAGAUUGCAGCCAGGUAAAAUGAUCGUGAACAUACUUUGUGUAGCUUUCUCGUGUUUGUAACUUACGUUAUGUGGAAUUGCACAUGCUUGCAUAUUAGAGCCUACAUAGGCAUGUGAGUGGUGCCAUUUGCUUUACAAAUGGGAAAUAAUGUUCUAUUACUGUUUUAUAAGCACACGUUCCAAUUUGUUUCUCAGUAACAGAGCUUGGAUUGUCCUGUUUUAAGUUUUGUAAGAAACGAGUGUUUUCGGUGAGCUGAGAAUCUUGUGGUUCUUCUGUGUUCUGCAUUAACCAACAAAUAUUUUUUUCCUUUCUCUAUAGCUACUGGCAGUCUUUCGGUUUAAGGUGUUAAUACUUGCAUAUGCAAUGUGCAGACUGCGCCAUUGGUGGGCAAUAGCUGUGAGUAGUAGCCAAGCAUAAUGGAGUUUUAACUAGAAUGGAUCAAACAGACAGAAUUUUCGAUGCCUCUUAACACUCGUAUGUUAAGAAUCAUCUUGAUAUAUAAGAUCAUCUUGGUAUGUUAAAGUUUGCUGUACAGUAACAGAUUAAAAACUUCUGUUCUGGAAGAUUUUCAGCUUAAAGGCAAGAAUUUAACAGCACAAUGAGUGUGGUUCUGACUAGGUAUCUUGUUAAUGCAAAUUGAAGACUUUGAAUCCAGUACGGAUGGCUGGUUGGAACUGCUUGUUAUCUCUGACAUAUUCAAUAGCUAAUGUGUGGAAUGUAUUUGCAUUCGAAAUAGUGAACUGUAUUAAAAGAGUUGGCAUUAUUGUAGCAGAGAUCCAGCUGUCCAUUCUCCCACAUUCUUAGCUUUUUAGAGUUUUAGGUGCCACCCACUGAGCACCUGCAUUGCUUCAUGCUCCAAGACAAAAUGCCAAAUAUGCAAUCCCUUCUUAGAAUGAAGGUUCUUGAGAACUUCAGGCAAUCACAGUGGAUGGGAGCAAAUAUCUUUAAUGCAGCUCUCCUGAGAAUGCAAUGAGAGAGGAUGCAGAACUUGCUGAUAAUCCAUACUUCCACCAGUCAGUGCUAUAGGUUAUAACAGGCAUGUUGCUGGCUUGGUGCACUGUAAAUCUUAUUUUCCCUUACCCUGUGGUAGGUGCAUGUAGAACGUGUUUAUGUGUAACUUCAAGUGGCUAACAUGCAGUUUGUUCAGUGGUCUGAGGUGACAUGCCAUGGUUUUUUAAGAGUAUUAGCAUGGCACAAACACAUAAUAGCAGCUGCAGGUCUGUGUUUAUUUUUCAGUGCAUGCCUCAAAAUCUCUUACUCUUGGUUGUGUAGCUUAAACAGUACUUCCAGUGACAUCCUUCGACUUGCUGCAGUUGUUGGUGAGGCGGUGGGAGUGAACCCAUCAUGGUAGUAAGCAAUCAGAUGUAUAAAGCUUCACUGAAGGUUUUGCAGAAGCUGUUAAUCCUAAAAUCCUACCUGUGCUUUACCAAAAGGUAGCUGGGGUCUGCUCUUAUUUAAAGAAUUGCUGGACCCCAAUGCACUAACAGAGUUAUAAGCCUUGCCUAAGCGAGCAGUACUUGUCCACUGCUGCUUUGUUGUUUUAUGCAGGCUCCAUUUUUUAUGGCAGGGACUCCCAAGUCUUCAAAGGCAUUAAUUUUUUACAAUAUCAGUACAUGGAUUAAAAUAUGAAUUCAAAUUUACUCCUGUAAAGAUCUUUUACCUGAAACAGAUAGUUUGAUUUGGAUGGUAGCCUAAGAAGCAUUUGGAGCAAUUACUGUUUGCUUUUUCCCAAAUACAUAGAUAGUUUCUAAAGGGACUUUGUGAAUAAAAUACUGCAUCUUCAUUAUACAGUUAAGAUCACAAUUUAUAGAGCUCAGCAUCUGUGUAGCAUCUAAACUGCCUAAUUGCUGUGUGGAAAUGUCAGUAUUAAAAGUUAUCUUUAGUAAGGAGGUUAUUUUAAUAACACUUUAGUUGUAUCAUACUUGUUAUGUUUUAUUAGUCUAUGAUCUUGCUGUUGUUGGUAAAUAUUUAAAGUUGCAACUGAUAGAUAAUGGCAGAAAUGAGAAAGUAAAUCCAUUUCUUAGUCUUAACUGUUCUUACCCUGUCUCUUUCAGUUUACAACAGCAGUGACCAGUGCCUUUUUAUUAGCAAAAGUAAUUAUUUCACAGCUGUUCUCACAGGGUGCUUUUGGCUACGUGCUGCCCAUCAUAUCCUUCAUACUUGCCUGGAUUGAAACUUGGUUCUUGGACUUCAAAGUGUUACCGCAAGAAGCUGAAGAAGAAAACAGGUUUUUGAUAGCACAGGAUGCGUCUGAACGAGCGGCUCUUCUUCACCCCGGAGUCCUCUCUGACGGGCAGUUCUAUUCUCCUCCUGAAUCUGUAGCAGGAUCUGAUGAAGAUUCUGAAGAGAAACAAGACAGUGAAAAGCCAGUUGUAUAGCAGAUAUGCAAAAGCAGAAAGAAAAUCCCUGAGGGAAGUUGCUGGGGUUUGGAAACUGGCACCGGAGCCUGUGACUGACUUGCUGAUGGAGCUGCUGACAGAAUUUAUUCCUUAGAAAGCAAAGGGAAUGGUUUCCAUGUACUGUAAUACCUCACAAAGCGUGCCCUGGUGACAUAUGUAUAUUAGGUUGCCUCCCAGGUGGUAUGAAAAUAUUCGUCCAUGAUGUAUUUUAUUAUUCAGUGAUUCCUGAAGUUGAUCUUCUACUGACUAUAGGUAAUUACUGGACCGUGUUGUUUUGUGUACCUAAUCAAGAGACAGCUAAUAUAAUGAAGUAAAACUUCUCUAUGCUCGAAGUCUAUUUAAUGAUCGUUGAGCCUCACUAGGUAAAAUUAUUUUAUGUUAUUGCUAAUUUGUCAUUAGUUUUAUGUUUGGUUAUUUUUUUUUUAACUCCACACGUUUUCUUUUUUAACAGACAUGUUCACUUUCUAAAAUAAACCCGUUAAAACAAGGGCAA